CAAUAUAAGUGGUGGCGACCGGCGCACGGGUGAGUAACACGUAUCCAACCUGCCGAUAACUCGGGGAUAGCCUUUCGAAAGAAAGAUUAAUACCCGAUGGUAUAAUAAAACCGCAUGGUUUAAUUAUUAAAGAAUUUCGGUUAUCGAUGGGGAUGCGUUCCAUUAGGCAGUUGGUGAGGUAACGGCUCACCAAACCUUCGAUGGAUAGGGGUUCUGAGAGGAAGGUCCCCCACAUUGGAACUGAGACACGGUCCAA
rnacentral:rRNA from 1 species